GCAUCCAGCCCCUGCCCCCUCCCAGCCCCCUCCCAGGCUCCCAGGGAGAGGAUAAGAGGGGCCUGGCAGAGCCCAGACCCAGCUGGUUCUCUCUGGGGAGCAGAGCUCUCGGGGUCCCCUGCACCAUGGCCUGGCCUCUCUUCUGCCUCCUCCUGCUCACCUGCUGCUCAGGUUCCUUCUCCCAGCCUGUGCUGACUCAGGCUCCCUCCAUGUCUGUGUCCCUGGGAGCCACGGCCAGACUCUCCUGCACCCUCAGCAAUCAGCACAGUGACUACUAUAUUGCUUGGUACCAGCAGAGCCCAGGAAAGGCCCCUCGGUACCUCAUGUAUGUCAGCAGCGGUGGAUAUGUAGAGAAGGGCGAGGGGGUCCCCAACCGCUUCUCGGGCUCCAGCUCUGGGGCUGAUGGCUAUUUGUCCAUCAGCAACAUCCAGCCCGAGGACGAGGCCGAUUACUACUGUGAAACAAGUGAUAGUAAUGGUUUACACAGUGAUACAUUCAGUGAGGAAGUGGGGCAAAAACCCCCCUGCCAGCCCAGCCCCCGCCCCACAGCUGGCCCGGACUUCUGGUGCAGCCACAGCUGCUAAAGGGCCCUGAGGUUGUGCUUCCUGUUUCUCUGUCUCAGGCUCAGAGCCCAAUGUCCAGGACCUGCCCAAGAGCACAGUGAGAUAAGUCCCAGAAAUGGAUCAUUUAUCUCCCUUGACCAGCACUUCCCCCCCUUCCCAAACUACUUCCCAGGGCACUGACUCCAGGGUAGGGCUUUAGCUGAGCCUUCAGGCUUUAGCUGGUGGAGGGGGGUGAGGGGCCCUGUCUCCCUGAGGCUGCCAUGGCCGGGCCCUUGUCAAGUAAAGGUUCUUUGAGGUUUCCAUUGGCUCCCACAAAAUGACACGCCCACAUAAUUCUACAAAGAGAUUUAAUAAAGACACUCAAAGAAAAGACAAAACCUUAUAAACCACCUGUUUAUAUCCUUCGACAAUAUAUCAGUUGGGAAAUGACUUGAUUUCUUAUUGAUCUGACUUCAUUCUCUCUAUUUUUAAAUGAGGCCUUUGUCAGAAACACUUUUUGUAAAAUUGGUUUCCCCGUUUUCUGCUUCCCUUUUAAUUUUGAUUGAA